CCGAAAGUUCCCCAAACUGUGCCCCACAACCGCCCUCCCAGACACCCCAGGGAGGUCCUUCUGGACAACAACGCCCCUUUUCGGGUUUCUUUAAAAAUAUAAAUGCUGCAAGAAUCGAGAAGUAAAGAAACCGCUAGAAGAAUCGAGAAGUAAAGAAACCGCUGCAAGAAUCGAGAAGUAUUUCUCCUAUUUCCCCCACAGAUACUACAAAAUUGUGCCUGAGCAAACUUACACAUUAAAAUUAAAAAAAAAAAAUUGAGCUAGAAUGGGGGUCCUUCAGAUACAGCCCCAAAGAUGGAAAGAAAGCCAUUGGGCUGGGGAUGGACCUGUCUAAAGUACUGAGGACCUCCAGGAUAAAUACACAGAAGAAGUGGGGACCCCUGGCCUAGCUGGGUGUUGGCUGGAGCUUCAGCAAAAACCACACUUUAUCUCCCAGUCAAGUCAACUUGAAGUCUUGACUCCUGGAGCCUGAGUGAAGCUGGGCUGCUUAGGAUGACAGCUGGGUACAGCUGGGCCACUGAGAACCUGAGGAAGUGGCCCUGACAAGAAGGAACCCCACCCUGGUGGGGGCAGAGCCAGAGGCAGGGGGCCGGGAUGCUGCUGGCUGCCAGUGCAGGAGCUGCUGGCUCCUGGUCCACCCAGGAAGGGGGAUGCUCUUGGUUUGUGCUUCCUGGUCGGAGAGUUUGGAGUUUCUGGGCAGAGGGCAGAACUGAAGGGAAGCAUGAGGAACCAUGUCUUCACACCACAAGUAGAGGUCCUUAAACUGAAUUAAAUCUUUUAUAACAAUGCACCAGCUAAGAAGAACCCCACCUUUGAAACCUAUUAUGGAAACAGGGAAGACUAGAGUUCAUCUUCAGAGAAGGACACUAAGCAACAAAGCUUUUACAUCAAAGAGUAACCUGAAAUGGCCCCAAACUCAGAGAAUGUAUACAACUCAAAAAAGAAGUUAAACAUCAAAUGAGAGACACUAGGGAAAAACGAACCAAAAUAAAAAAUUCCAUCCAAGGAAAACCAAAAGUUUAGGAAACAAAAAAGGAAACCAACUUGCAGAGGAGGAACAGAAUCUCAAAGAUGAAAAUAAUUCUUUGAAAAUGAGGGUGGAGCAAUUGCAAGACAGGAAGUUAAGACAAACCAGGAAAUAACAAAAAGGACAGAUUUUAGUGAUUGCAAACAAAUAGAACAAAAUGUGAAACAUCUUAUAAUUUAAAAAACAGAUCUGGAGAACAGAUUUAAGAAGAGAAACUUCAAUUGGACUGCUUGACAAUUGUGACCCAAAAAAAACCCUUGACACAAAAUGCAAGAAAUAAUUUAGGACAAUUGUCCUGGGAGUGGAAGCGCCAAGAUGGCAGAGAAAAGACACGACUUUCUCAGAGCUCUCCCACACAUACCUCAAAUUAACAGCAAAUUGAGCCUUUGAUCCGGUCGUAUGAAGUGACAGAACCCACAAGUAUUUGGAAUGUAACAAAUUGCCAACAGAAGGGGUAAAUUUAAAGAUUUCCAGAAAAGGUCUGUUUCAAUUGGCCACUGUGAGAAGUGGGCCGAGCGCUGGUAGUACAGAUCCCCAGGGUGGUUGGGAUCUAGGCACUAGGGAACCUACCAGUAGGAACCAGUAGGAAGCAGAGUUGGCUUCUCUGUCCUGGUUACAAGCCAGUACAUCAGAUUAUCUGGAAAACAUCCAACACAAAUACAAAAGACAAUUAGUGAGCCGCUAAAUCCCAGAAUAUCCUGGGCCCUGGCCAUGCCCACCUGGCCACCAAAAGUUAGUCAGCAUUGAAGCCAGCACAGCUUGUUAGAGGAAGCUUGGACAAUCUCCCCGUUGUCUGAAAUGGACCUCAACCUUAUUUAAAAAAUAAGCAAAAAGAAUUCUCAGCAUAGAUAGUUUUUAUGGAGAAAGAGAAGAAAUUUCAAACUCUGAGGACACUAAAAGCAGAUCAUCUCCAGAGACCCCAAAGGAUGAUGAUAAGAAUUGGUCCCCAUCUCACAAGCCUGUCUUGGAAGGCUUGGAAGGAUUCAAAAACGGACUUAAAACAGGGAAGAAAUAAUAAAGAAAGGCAAUGAAAAUUUUGCAAGACGGUUUGGAAAAGGAAACAGAAAUUAUCUGAAGAAAAUUCCUUACCAAAUAGAUUGAAUGAAAUGGAAAAAAAAAACAUACAACACCUUACAAAAUAGAUUUGACAAAAUGGAAAAAGAAAAUAACUCCUUAAAAAAUAGAGUUUAUGACAUGGAAAAACUGCAUUGAGCAAAACAACUCAUUUAAAAAUUGAAUUGCCCCAAUCCAAAAGGAGCUAAAAAAGGUAGCUGAAGAAAAUCAUUUACUAAACAUCGAGCAAAUGGAAAUGAAUGACUCAAUGAGACAUCAAAAAUCAGUCAUCCAAAAAAAUUGAAAAAAUACAAGAAAGUAAAAUGCCACUGACCUGGAAGAUAGACCUAAGAGAGACAAUCUAAGCAUAUCUGGACUCCCUCAAAAGUAGGAUCAAAAAAGCCUAGACAUCAUCUUUCAGGAAAUCACCAAGAGAAACUGCACUGAUGUCCUAGAACCAGAAGAUAAAAUAACCAUUGAAAGAAUUCACCAGUCAUCUCCUGAAAGAGUUCCCCAAAUGAAAACUCCAUGGAAUACCAUAGCUAAAUUUCAGAAUUAUCGGAUUAAGGAAAAAAUAUUGCAAGUAGCCAGAAAGAAACAAUUCAAAUAUCAAGGAACUGCAGUCAGGAUCAUCCUGUGAACAUCAGAACCUUAAAGGAUCGAAGCACCUGGAAUCUGAUAUUCUGAAAGGUAAAGAAAAAACUUGCAUUGUAGCCAAGAAUCAACUGUCCAGCUAAACUGAGCAUUAUCUUUCAGGUAAGAAGAUGAACAUAUGGAUUUCAAUCAUUUAUGAUGAAAAGAGCAGAGCUGAACAAAAAAUUUGACUUGCAAAUACAGAACACAAGAAGCAUCAGAAGAUCGAGACAAAAUAAUAACAAAGUUCAUCUGGAAGAACAAAAUCAAGAAUUACAAGGGAAUUAAUGAAAAAUCGCAAAUGAAGGAAGAAAUCAGAUCCCAAGAUACAAAGCACGACAAAGGAGGAAAACAGGAUUCUGUAUGUGACGGGGAGCUAGACCCCAGACUCAAAUUGGCUACUCAGAGACAUCUCCAGAUACAACCAGAAAGCAUGGAUUCUCAUGGUCUGGGUCCCCAGGCCGGAAAGAGGGGAUGGACGAACUAGCAAAGACUCGGGUUCAUUGGAUGGACUGAAAAGGAAGUAACCAUUGACCCAUAAUCAGCAAUGCUGUCCAGGUCCUGUGACUUGCUGAAGCUUAGACCAGGAUCCUGUCUGAACUCUUCUGCCCUAUAUUGCUCUGAGAAUAGGGAUCAUGUGACUCCCAGAAACUUAGGUCUAGGGUCUGACCUUUUCUGCCCCAGAGUCCUCUAGGACUAGAGAUCCCCCGAUUCCCUGAACCUCAGCCCUAGCUUCGACAGCCUCUGAGAAUGUGCCCUCUGCCCCCGCCCCCCCCCCCCCUGCCCUCCAGCCCAUUCAGGCCCUCUUUAUUUCAGACCUUGGAAGUUCUCUCCCCCCAGUCCGGAUGCUUUUCUCCCACCAGGACAUGUUACUUAGGCCUUCAGGCUGAUUCCCUCCCCUCCCUCCCUCCCUGUCCCCCCAGGAUCCAGGUAACUACCCUCUCCCCUUCAGAACUCGCCCCGCCCAUCCGUGGGAGCUUUCAGGAACCACUUCACUAAGAGAUCUUGGCCCACUCUAGUGCUUAAGUGCAUGAGCCAGAGGAUGGUAGGAUAAGGCUGUUUAAGGCAAGGAGCAGGAGUCAGAGACCCCAUUCCCUGCUCCCAUCCCCCUCCCCCUUCUUGGAAACCCUGUCAUCACCGACCCACAAUUGGCGUCUGGCUGCCGGUGUCAUCCACAGAACUCCAGCACUGUCCAGGCCCGGAGGCCUCAGGGCCGUUAUCCCACCUCAAGCAGGACAGAUGGAGUCUUCUGGGCCAAAGGGACACAGGUCUCCCCUUGAGAAGCUGCUGCAGGCUGGCGAGGGGCGAGGACACUGGAGCCCUGCCCAGCGGGGGUCGGACUGAGAAGAGACCGGGACUUGGACGUGACGUCAGCAGCAGGAGCCGCCGAGUGUCCGAAUCAGUGAUUUCUGGUUGACCAGUACUUGGAAUUUCAGGGCCUGGAGUCUGGAAGAAACAACUCACAAGUAGAUUAGCGAUGCAAGGCCUGAAUAUGAGGGGGGAAAAUGGAGUUAAUAUGGGGGUUACAGGGACAGAAACCAGAGUCCCCUCCCACAUGAAGACUGGUUGGGGGGAACGAUGAGGCUCUCAUGAAUGUCUCUCAUCCAGACAGAUUUUCCUAGAAUAAAUAGCAAAAAGUA